UAAUAAAUACAGUCCGAAUUAUUGUCAUUUUAACCAUGAACUUGAGAUUUAACAUGGAGGAUAAAUUACGUAACAUAUGUUAACUAUAAGCACAUAUGUACUUGAUAGUUGAACAGCAUUCUUGCGACUGAUAGGCAAUCCAUUUAGUACAAGUCUCAAAGUGAUGCCUUUGACAAUCCGUUUUAGAGCAAAUAUUUCCCUUAAUAACACAAUGUGGUGGUGUCCGAAGAGUGAUUUCACUUUUCUGCGGGUUGUCAAACGCACUUGGUUCCUUUUGAAUUGAGCUUUCUCGUUUACCGUAAGCACGCCAGUUUACCGUGCAGCUCAACACCUGUUACUAUUGCUGUGUUUUGAGUGCGUAUUGCAAACAUUUUCAAGCUCUUUAUUUGCCGUUUGCAUCUAAAUAUGUAGGAGCAUCAUUACGACACGAGCUCCUCGAGUUUGUAUGUUGCUCGCAAGCUAUCGUAGAACAAUAUCAACAAAGUUGGCUUGUCAAUGAGCACGCCCACAACUAGCACACGGCUGUCGAUCAAACCUUAAUCAAGUAAAGCGUUUGACCUGCAUGUUGUUUUGUAUGUUUUCCACGCAAAAGUUGAUGUCCAAACUGCAAGAGUGGAGGCUCCACAUCGGCUGCUGGUAAUCUACCUGCACAUCACGACGCCAACAUAUUUUCGAAAGAGUAAACAUUCAGUCGCAAAAAAGUUACAAGUUGGAUUGCAGUCUGCUCGUAGACGAGUGGUGAAGUGGUCGGCCAGCGGGACAAGUGGUGAAGUGGUCGGCCAGCGGGACGAGUGGUGAAGUGGUCGGCCAGCGGGACGAGUGGUGAAGUGGUCGGCCAGCGGGCCGAGUGCUGAAGUGGUCGGCCAGUGGGCCGAGUGGUGAAGUGGUCGGCCAGUGGGCCGAGUGGUGAAGUGGUCGGCCAGUGGGACGAGUGGUGAAGUGGUCGGCCAGUGGGACGAGUGGUGAGGACUCCGUGCUUGGACCUAAGACAAAAAGAUUUGCAAGUCAAAAGUUAAGUCAAUAUUUUGUGCAGAAAAUGUUUUGGCAUGAAACUUACCAGUGUGAAAGAAUUGUUCAUGGCACCAAGUGUUGAGAGUUGCAUGACCAGGAAGCUGAGCUUAUUCCUUGCUGCCUGUCAAAAUAGAAAAAAAGAAUUUGGGACAAAGUUGUCAUUGGGAUUGUGCAAUGAUUAGCAUUUAAAGAGCAUACCACCCAAGUGCAAAUGUUGCCCACUUCUCAGGUUGCCUUGGAGAUGAGGAAGCAACACGAAAAAGCAUGUUGCUAGCAUGCGACUGCGCUCUGGUCCUCAGCCUCCGCUGCAAGCAGGUACUCCAUGGUGCACCACACUGGACAGAAAACAAACAAAACAAACAGUCAUUCAACUUUUGGAACAUGGUGGCUGGAAUGAAAUGUACUUUCCUUCUCUUACCAGCAGAGGGCUUUUCAGGCAGCAAGGAGGUGCAGACCCAAAAGACUUGUAGAUCUGCCAAAACGUCAACUUGAAGCUUUUGGCAAGUAGCAUACCAGGAAUGUCUCAUUUCACCUUGUAGGUCCACCUGUAACAGUCCAAGUCCAGAAAGUGAAGAGCCUGCCACAGUUUGGCUCGAGCCACAGGUGCUUCGACUCCACCGGCAGGUGGACGAGCUCAAAGUAGAAGCAUCUGUUGCUGAAGACAAACUGUGGCAGGCUUUUCGCUUUCUGGGCCAGGAUUUGCCACCGCUGCCUGUAAAGAAAAGGAACAUUGACACAACGACUCAAUUUAAGUUAACUGUUUUUAUUAUUAACUGUAGACUGGAAUCUUCCGCUGAAAACUUUCGGUCGUUUGUGCACUUGAAUCUUAGACGAGUAACAGGAAGACGAACUCCUGAACUGUUGCAAAGACUCUCCUGGACGGCCACACCUGCACACAAACAAGGGAACAGUCAAGCUGCUGUUGAGCAAGUUGAUUUGCACGUCUCAACACUUAAGAUGGAGAUAGGCUUGAGGACCUUCGGCACAGUUUUGGAGAAUUUCUUGGCCCAGUAGGUGGAAGGUCUUUCUCCUACUGGAAGCUGCACUGCACUAAGAGCAAAGAAAAAGCAAGUUAGUGCUCUUAGCAGGCCAAAUAUUUGCCACGUUUUGUCACCGGUCAGCAUUUUGAACGGGAAGUUCAUGAGGCCUAGUUUCCUGACUGUCUGCACCAGCACCACCUGAAACAAAAAACGGGUCAAGCGCUUUGAUUUGUUGAGUUUGUCAUUGCAACAGGUUCAAACUGGCGCUUUUAUUUCAGUCAAUCCAUGCAGCAGGUAUCAGGUCCUUUGGCACCACCUGGUGGACAAAACGGGAAGAAAAUGCACAUGCUGAAUAAAUUGGUCACAUUGUUCAUGUAUGAAAGUGCACAUGCGUGUUUCACCAAUGAAGAAUGCAGGGGCAGCUCUGGACUUCUCUCCAACCACAGUUUGUUGGCCUGAAAGACACGAUGCAGGCCUGUGGACAGAAAUGAGACCAGUAGAUGCUGUUAAUUAAAAGGGUUCACGUGUGAAUCCACUUUCAUCAAACAGAAAGUCCGUCAUUUGAGAAUCAUUUGGAAGAGCCGCACCUGCAGA